ensembl:lncRNA
CUCCUGUGUAAUUCAGUCUUUUAUGUUUAUUGAUGGUCCUCUGAUGCCAUCUACUGGCGGACUUUGGUAUUGUUCUGGAACACGUUCUGAUAUGCAUGCCUUUCACUCCAUUACACUACAUUCACUUGAUCGGAAAGCAUGGUACUCGCACUCGUCUUCAUAAUUGCGUCUCCUCUGGUUUCAAGUUAGCCUUUGAAAGCAUCGUUGGAGCAGGUUCUGCUAGUCGGGAGAGUGGUGGAGAAACCAAAGGUACAGGCGCCCCCUGGUGGACGACGGGGGGGCUGGCGCUGUCCCAGUGAGAGGCCAUUAGAUCUAGUGACUAAAGGGGGGG